GACGAACGCUGGCGGCGUGCUUAACACAUGCAAGUCGAACGAAGAGCGACGGAAGCUUGCUUCUAUCAAUCUUAGUGGCGAACGGGUGAGUAACGCGUAAUCAACCUGCCCUUCAGAGGGGGACAACAGUUGGAAACGACUGCUAAUACCGCAUACGAUCUAAUCUCGGCAUCGAGGAUGGAUGAAAGGUGGCCUCUACAUGUAAGCUAUCACUGAAGGAGGGGAUUGCGUCUGAUUAGCUAGUUGGCGGGGUAACGGCCCACCAAGGCGAUGAUCAGUAGCCGGUCUGAGAGGAUGAACGGCCAAAUUGGGACUGAGACACGGCCCAGACUCCUACGGGAGGCAGCAGUGGGGAAUCUUCCGCAAUGGACGAAAGUCUGACGGAGCAACGCCGCGUGAGUGAUGACGGCCUUCGGGUUGUAAAGCUCUGUUAAUCGGGACGAAAGGCCUUCUUGCGAAUAGUGAGAAGGAUUGACGGUACCGGAAUAGAAAGCCACGGCUAACUACGUG
rnacentral:rRNA from 1 species